AUCCAUCUGACGUGUCCCAAACAGGAUGGAAUGGAUUUCAUCCUGGAU
rnacentral:hammerhead_ribozyme from 1 species